ACCUGUCCAUUGGUCAUAUCAACAGGUGAGAAAUGGUCGACAUGAAAAUAUCCGAGUGGACGUCUGCAGAAAGAAGAAACCUCUUUGUGGCGAGUGACAUGUAGCAUUGCGGAUAAAUCUACAUUGUGGAUACGACUGAACCAGCAACUCCCAUGAAUUUUAUUGCUGCACCGUAUGGGGCCCCUGUUUUGUAUAGCAGACUUUAUUGUGUCAAUACUCGUGUCUGUAAUAAAUAUACCGGGAGUAUCACUACCAGCGGGACGCAUUUAUGGCCGGAUAAAACCAGACACGGAUAUCACCGAUUGAAAAACCUCCAUCUUGCAACUUUUUUUUUAGCAAACAUGAAUUUAACGUAAAAAUUGCUUAAACUGCUUAAGCUGUGAGUUAUUAUAAAAAAUUGUUAUUAUGAAUAGUCUGCGGAUUUUUCGCUUGUUUGAAAAGAAACGAGUGAGUAAAAUAUAAAACAGGGGAGAAAUUUCGAAGAUACAAAAGCAGAUAA